UGCUGACUCGCCACACGUGCCGCAGCACCAUGGAUGCCCCGAGACAAGUGGUCAAUUUAGGGCCAGGACCCGCCAAGCUGCCGCGCUCGGCACUGUUAGAGAUACAAAAAGAAUUAUUAGACUACAAAGGCGUUGGGAUUAGUGUUCUUGAAAUGAGCCACAGGUCAGCAGAUUUCGCUAAGAUCCUUAACAACACAGAGAAUCUUGUGCGGGAAUUGCUAGCUGUUCCAGACAACUACAAGGUGAUUUUUGUGCAAGGAGGUGGGUCUGGCCAGUUCAGUGCUGUCCCCUUAAACCUGAUUGGACUGAAAGCAGGCAGAUGUGCCGACUACGUGGUGAUAGGAGCUUGGUCAGCUAAAGCUGCAGAAGAAGCCAAAAAGUUUGGGACUGUGAACAUCGUCCACCCUAAACUUGGGAGUUACACAAAAAUCGUAGACCCAAGCACUUGGACCCUCAACCCGGAAGCCUCUUACGUGUAUUACUGCGCCAAUGAGACUGUGCAUGGCGUGGAGUUUGACUUUGUCCCCGACGUCAAGGGAGCAGUGCUGGUCUGCGACAUGUCCUCAAACUUCCUAUCCAGGCCAGUGGACGUUUCCAAGUUUGGGGUGAUUUUUGCAGGUGCGCAGAAGAACGUUGGCUCUGCGGCGGUCAUGGUGGUGAUCAUCCGCGAUGACCUGCUGGGGUUCGCCCUCAGGGAGUGCCCCUCGGUCCUGGAGUACAAAGUGCAAGCCGGAAACAACUCCUUGUACAACACUCCUCCCUGCUUCAGCAUCUAUGUCAUGGGCUUGGUCCUGGAGUGGAUUAAGAACAACGGCGGUGCAGCAGCCAUGGAGAAGCUCAGCUCCAUCAAAUCGCGGAUGAUUUAUGAUAUCAUUGAUAAUUCUGAAGGAUUUUAUGUGUGUCCAGUGGAGCCCCAGAAUAGAAGCAAGAUGAAUAUUCCAUUCCGCAUUGGCAACGCCAAAGGAGAUGAUGCUUUAGAAAAAAGAUUUCUCGAUAAAUCCCUUGAGCUCAAUAUGAUCUUCUUGAAAGGGCACAGGUCUGUGGGAGGCAUCCGGGCCUCUCUGUACAAUGCCGUCACGAUCGAAGAUGCUCAGGAGCUGGCAGCCUUCAUGAAGAAAUUUUUGGAGAUGCAUCAGCUGUGAACACAUCCUAACCAAUCUAUAUUCUACCCUUGAACAAUGUCCCACAUUUAAAUUGUGUCUUCUCCCUUCCCUCCUACCUUUGGAAGCUGCUUCACAAGAUUUAGAAGCUCCCCGAUUCACUUUUAUUUAGGUGGAAGAGAAGGUUGGUUGGUUAUUUUUUCAGUUAUGCCGUGAAACUAAAAAAAAAAUCUUAAACUCCCUUAGCGUUUGUUCACUUGACUAUUCUCGUUAAUUGUGUUUGACCAGAGUGAUGCUAUGAGUUCUGGAAGAUCCUUGCUGGAGAGUCUUUCCCCUGUUGUUUAUCCAUUGUCAGUAUUUGAUGUUGAGUAC